GUGCUCUGCCAGGAACAGAGACCAAAUAUUCAUUCCUUUUUAUGUCAAAGAUGCCCGUAGGAAAUUAUAGCUUGUCCGGAAAGCACUUGGUCCUGAUGCAUUCUGGCAGCUACGGAAGACAGGAAGAAAGAGAGCAGCUCGGGAAGGACAGGGACCUCCUUCUUCACGUUUAUACGCAUGAAAGAGCGUGUUCACAAAGAAGACGAACGGUGUGUCUUGAUUACGGCACCGCAGGAACGCCCUGUCUCUGCUGGGAUGCCGAGCUCUGCGGGAGAAAAUGACACAACCCACAGAUUCGCACCAGAGGGAGAAGAAACUUAGGAUGAUGAGGGCUCGCAGAGGCCGAAUGCGAAGAGUAUUUCAAGAAGCUGACGGUUUUCCUGACUAUGGAGAGAUCGGUUCAAGUGACAGCAGGAUUCCUGGCGGUAGCAACACGGAGUCACUGCUGAUGAAAAGGGGCCUUCAGUGGCCUAGGGAGGGCAGUGCCACGUGGAGCUAGCUAAGGGAGACACAGGAGAGGUCCUGGAGAAGGUGAGC
rnacentral:sRNA from 1 species